UACGGGGGGAGCAAGCGUUGUCCGGAAUUAUUGGGCGUAAAGGGCUCGUAGGCGGUUUGUCGCGUCGGGAGUGAAAACCUACAGCUUAACUGUGGGCUUGCUUUCGAUACGGGCAGACUUGAGGCAUGCAGGGGAGAACGGAAUUCCAGGUGUAGCGGUGAAAUGCGUAGAUAUCUGGAGGAACACCGGUGGCGAAGGCGGCAUCCUGGACCGACACUGACGCUGAGGAGCGAAAGCCAGGGGAGCAAACGGGG
rnacentral:rRNA from 1 species